AAUAAGUGCAGUUUUGUACUAUUCACGUUCAACGUUUGACCGUCCGUCUUAUUUGAAACAUUUAUGAAAAAAUUAAAAACAUUUAGUCACACAUAAAGUACUAUUCAUGUUUUAUCAUCUAAUAGCAAUAAAAAUACUAAUUAUAAAAAAAUUUCAAAUAAGACGGACGGUCAAACGUUGAACGUGAAUAGUGCAAAACUACACUUAUU
rnacentral:pre_miRNA from 1 species